CCUACGGGUGGCUGCAGUCGAGAAUCAUUCACAAUGGGGGAAACCCUGAUGGUGCGACGCCGCGUGGGGGAAUGAAGGUCUUCGGAUUGUAAACCCCUGUCAUGUGGGAGCAAAUUAAAAAGAUAGUACCACAAGAGGAAGAGACGGCUAACUCUGUGCCAGCAGCCGCGGUAAUACAGAGGUCUCAAGCGUUGUUCGGAAUCACUGGGCGUAAAGCGUUCGUAGGCUGUUUCGUAAGUCGUGUGUGAAAGGCGCGGGCUCAACCCGCGGACGGCACAUGAUACUGCGAGACUAGAGUAAGGGAGGGGGAACCGGAAUUCUCGGUGUAGCAGUGAAAUGCGUAGAUAUCGAGAGGAACACUCGUGGCGAAGGCGGGUUCCUGGACAUUAACUGACGCUGAGGCACGAAGGCCAGGGGAGCGAAAGGGAUUAGAUACCCCUGUAGUC
rnacentral:rRNA from 1 species